AUUGUAAAACAUUAUUUAAAAAUAUAAAUAUUAAAUUGUAAAAAGAUUAUAAGAACCAUUAAAAUUAUAAAAUAAAAACGCAUGAGAAUAUGAAAAUUAUAAACACUUUUUUUUUUUUUUGCGUGUAUGCAUGAGUAAGAAAAGCGACAAAGACGCGCAGUCAAUAUUGAAACAUCAUCAAAACAAGCUUCUUGGCGCCUCAACAUAGUAAAAGUAAAAGCCCCUAUUUUGUAUCUUUGUUACUGACUUGUGUUGUGUUUCCUUCUUUUAACAAUGGCGUUCUUUGAUUUUUUGUAUUUGGCAGUUGGACGGAAUUGUAGAACAACACAAAGGAAAAAAAAUGGACAUACUCUACACAUGCCUACACUGAUUCAAACUAUUAUGAAGGGCACAUGCAUAGAGGCAAAAAACGUUCAACUAAAAUAUGCAUUAGGCCUUGUUGAUGUGUGGAAUCAAUAACGAGGAGAUACAAUGAGAGAGCGGCGAAGUUGGUGGAGCCCGGUUCACCUUAUCUAGGCAAAGAGCCGAAAAAUACUAUUAGUUGAGGCAGCGAUGGUGGAGAUAGCUUGAGAACAAGGUGACAGAAUGUAGGUCAGAAUAUUGGAGAGUCGAUUCUUUCUUCAUUGUUCUGGAGAUUAUUUAUAGGCGAGGUCCCUUGUUAAGUGGCAUUAACAUGGCGGAUUCACCAGCAAGCCAUCAUUAUGGGAUGCGUGGGGAGGAUGUCCGUGAUGGGACACAUUCUAUCAUUCUUUUUA
rnacentral:lncRNA from 1 species